CACGAUGCGUAGCCGACCUGAGAGGGUGAUCGGCCACAUUGGAACUGAGACACGGUCCAGACUCCUACGGGAGGCAGCAGUGGGGAAUAUUGCACAAUGGGCGAAAGCCUGAUGCAGCAGCGCCGCGUGAGUGAUGAAGGCUUUCGAGUCGUAAAGCUCUUUGAUCAGGGAUGAUAAUGACAGUACCUGAAAAACAAGCCACGGCUAACUACGUGCCAGCAGCCGCGGUAAUACGUAGGUGGCGAGCGUUGUCCGGAAUUACUGGGCGUAAAGGAUGCGUAGGUGGAUAUUUAAGUGGGAUGUGAAAUCCCCGGGCUCAACCCGGGAACUGCAUUCCAAACUGGAUAUCUAGAGUGCAGGAGAGGAAAGCGGAAUUCCUAGUGUAGCGGUGAAAUGCGUAGAUAUUAGGAGGAACACCAGUGGCGAAGGCGGCUUUCUGGACUGUAACUGACACUGAGGCAUGAAAGCGUGGGUAGCAAACAGGAUUAGAUACCCUGGUAGUCCACGCCGUAAACGAUGGGUACUAGGUGUAGGAGGUAUCGACCCCUUCUGUGCCGUCGUUAACACAAUAAGUACCCCGCCUGGGGAGUACGGUCGCAAGACUAAAACUCAAAGGAAUUGACGGGGGCCCGCACAAGCAGCGGAGCAUGUGGUUUAAUUCGAAGCAACGCGAAGACCUUACCUAGACUUGACAUCUCCUGAAUUACCCUUAACCGGGGAAGCCCUCCGGGGCAGGAAGACAGGUGGUGCAUGGUGUCGUCAGCUCGUGUCGUGAGAUGUGGGUAGUCCCGCACGAGCGGCACCCUAU
rnacentral:rRNA from 1 species